UUUCUUAGGGGAAUGGAGAGAUUACAAACUGUCAUAUUUUUAAUUAUAAGCUAGGGCUUAAUGUUUCGUAAGCAAAAAUAGGUUUUGUGGGCAUUGUCAGGAAGUAUACCACAGGCUUUAAAACAACUGUAAUACAGAAACCUUUGUUUAACUACAUUUCUGCAUUGGUUAUUCACAUCAUAUUAUGUGGUAGUAAAUAAAAUCUUACUUGAAAAAAAAACGGUGUAAUUUAUGUCAAUAAAAAAACUAAUUCACUGUAGUUAUUUAUGUAUGUAUAAUAAUAUAUAAAACUUAUAUCCUAUUAUUGGUUACAUAAUAUACUGAUUGUGUUUUGAAACCAGGACCUUGGUACAUAUUUCAUUGCUGCAAAUUUGCAUAAAGAUAAUUGAAUAUAUAUUGCAAGCCAACAUAUAAAUAGAACAGCAGACAAACCACAACUUAGGAGUUACACCACAUUGCCACUGUAGUUAGUGAUAGGAAUACUCAAUAUACAAAUAGACAGAGGAAGUAAUAAAGCAUCAUUGAAACCAAAUAUUUCCUGUUGGGGGGGAUGACACUAAAUUUAGAUCACACUUAGUAUUAUCAUUGUAUGUAAUGACUAAUGUUCAAAGUUCAAAGGAUAACAUUGCUUUAAACUUUGAGUGGCAACCUAUUUCAGUAACAUUGUUUAAAUUUAGAUAUCAUUUUUGGUAAUGUCAGCAGCCAGUAUAGUAUUAAAACUCAAACAACUUAAACAAAUAUAUAAACUCUAAUUGCCAUGCAUAUUAUAAAUCUAAAACAUCUCUACAUUUAAUAUAUUAAUUCCAAAAAAGUAUGACAAAGCAAUUGGUUUUUACAAUAGCCAAAAACCUGUUUUAGAUUUUAAACUUACACUUUAAUAACUGAUGUAUACAUUAGAACAAUAACAUUAUAACAUAGAUAGAACCAUAGUUUUGUAAUUGAACAUUGCUUAACAGUUUUAUUGGAUAUCAUUAUCAGUUUACAAUGAUGACAAAAUGCUACCAGAACAAAAGUUUAUGCUAAUAACAAAUUUACAAAUGAACAAGAUUUACAAAGAUGUCGAACUAAAAAAUCAAUUGAAAUCGGGAUUAAGAAAUCUUGGGUAUAGAAUGCUAAGAAUGUCAAAAGCUAUAAAUAUUUUAUGAUAAUGCAAAUUUAAUUUUAGGUUAAAAAUAUCUGAGCAUCCACAAUAGGUUAACAAGGUUUAAUCAUUUGACAAUCAAAUAGUUUAAAUAAAAUAUAUAUAUAAGUUUUUUUUUUACAAUCAAAUAGUUUAAAAAUUGUAUCAAUUUUAUUACAGUAGUGGAAGUGGCUAUAAAACACGUCAUAAAAAAAUAGGAAGUAAAGAACAACAUUAAUAAAAUAGUGGUUUUAUAGUAAUCUAGUCAGUGUAUAAACCUCUCAUGACAUAGUAAUGAAAUAAGUGCCAACAAGGAAAUACCUUAGAAAUUAGUUUAUAAUGUAACAGGUAGACUUUUAAUCAGCACCAAAAUGGUUAUUACCAUUUAAUAAAUAAAAAAAUAAAUAAUUGAAUUAUGCAGUAAUAGACUAUAAAUUACCUAUGCUAUAAACAUAUAUGAUUCAAUUUCUAUCAAAAGAUACUGUAAUACCAACAAGGGGACUUGAACACGUUUUAAUUUCUAACUAAACAAUGUAUAUAUAUAUAACACAUAGGCUAUUAUAUGAAACUUUCUUGUUUAUUGUUUUUGUUGAUAAAAAUAGUUUUGUUAAGUAAUUAUCAUAUUCAUAAAGUAAAAAUGUAUAAUCUAAUUUGGGUAAGGUAAUUUAUACUCAUAUAUAAACUAUAUAAAAUAACUACUAUGAUUAAAUACAUCAUAAAAAUGACACUUCACACUCAAACUAACUAACAGAGAGCAAUAAAAAUGUAUUGGGCCUAAAUUUUCCUACUGCUACUACUAUAUAACAAAUUAUAUCACCGUUAAAUUAUCAAUACAUAACAAAUCUAACUCAAAUUACAACUGAAAACAUCACAUUAUUGUAUCAAUACAUAAGUUAUAAAUUGCAAUGAACAUAACAUUUGCACGUCGUGAAUUUGCUCUAAAACUAACACUAAAACCCACGAACGAUAACUUACAACCACACGGUGUCAGUUUACAACUUGAACUUUGACAACCUCCGUUGCGCGUAGAAAAAUGCGAUAAAUUCGAGAUUACUCGUGGACCGCGAUCUCCAUUCAGAGGAAAUUCGUCACAAUCGAAAAUUUCGCUAAAGGCGCCAAAACUUUGGUAAUAAUCGAGAAGUCGAUAAUUAAUUUUGUCCUAAUAUUUUUUUAUUUAAAGGAAAGUGUUCGUAUAAAGAACUCUAAAAUACCUCCUCGUAUUGAUUAGACUAUUAACGUGGUAGUUCUGAAUGAAUGCCUUCUGCUUACGCCGUGGCCUUCGUGCUUUCGCUUCGAAUCGGUUUUGGGUCUUUAUUACUUGGACAAAGCGCUCACUUCAAGAAUUUAGUCUUGUACAGAAACUAUAUUUAUAUUUUCUAUAAACCUAAAUGUAGUAAAUUACACAAGUUGUACAGAAGUUAACAAUACAACUGGAUUAACCAGUAAUGUGCAACUUUUAUUUAAUAACAGAUAACGCUCAAACAUUACACAAUGUUAAAAUGAAACAUAGAUUAUUUCCAAAAGAUACCAAAUUUUACCAACAGUGAUUUUGGUGUCUGGAAAAAGAGGAACAAAAGUUUUAUGAAGCAAAAUGUACAAUGUAAAAGCGACUUUGUAAAGCAGGUUACCCAGUUAUACUGUAAUCUGUUACUUGCUCUUUCAAGCAAUAUAAAAGCCAAUCAAUUGGUUUGUGAUAACCAAGCAUAUGUAUAAUAAAUUUAGACAUUUUACAUUAAAAAUCGAGUAGGAUUAUAAAUGAGAUUUUCAUUCCACACAAAACUUGAAUAUAUGUUAAACAUAAUUAUUUAUAAUCUAUUCUGUGCAGUUCUUUAUAAUAACCAGGUUAGAUUGCAAUGAAAACAGAGUUAAAUGCAUAGACACAAACAAAAAAGCAAAUACCAAAAGAGCCGCAAGUUAAGGCAGUAGGCCAAUUUACAAAAUGCCACAUUUAAAAC